rnacentral:ncRNA from 1 species
AAAGCGGAAUCCAAAAAGCUAAAAGAGUAGGAA